rnacentral:lncRNA from 1 species
CUCUUUCUUGUUCUUCCAUAAUUCGUUGUCGCUCAAGCUCUUGCAUCUUUUGAACUCGUUCCAGUUCAGCCUCAAAAGAUUCUCUGAUAGGGUCAUAGAAAUCAGUCUGCUUAACCACAUCCUUUUUUCUCUUGAUCACUGCAGAAAGUCCUCCAGGAAAGAGAUCCCUUUCAUCAAAUCCUGCAGAUUCAUAGUCUUUCAGGUAUGGAUCCUCUAUGUAUGGCCUUUCACGGAUUCUCUGACAGGGUCAUAGAAAUCAGUCUGCUUAACCACAUCCUUUUUUCUCUUGAUCACCGCAGAAAGUCCUCCAGGAAAGAGAUCCCUUUCAUCAAAUCCUGCAGAUUCAUAGUCUUUCAGGUAUGGAUCCUCUAUGUAUGGCCUUUCACCCCUUGAACGGGCACCUUUCUCCCUGCCCACAUUCAUAACAGGAUCAGUCAUAGGAAGUGAUUUCCCAAUGGAUGCAAAUGAAGGUUUUGACCCGGAGUUGUUCUGAAAGC